GAUGAACGCUAGCUACAGGCUUAACACAUGCAAGUCGAGGGGAAACGGCAUUGAGUGCUUGCACUCUUUGGACGUCGACCGGCGCACGGGUGAGUAACGCGUAUCCAACCUUCCCAUUACUGUGGGAUAACCUGCCGAAAGGCAGACUAAUACCGCAUAGUCUUCGAUGACGGCAUCAGAUUUGAAGUAAAGAUUUAUCGGUAAUGGAUGGGGAUGCGUCUGAUUAGCUUGUUGGCGGGGUAACGGCCCACCAAGGCAACGAUCAGUAGGGGUUCUGAGAGGAAGGUCCCCCACAUUGGAACUGAGACACGGUCCAAACUCCUACGGGAGGCAGCAGUGAGGAAUAUUGGUCAAUGGACGGAAGUCUGAACCAGCCAAGUAGCGUGCAGGAUGACGGCCCUAUGGGUUGUAAACUGCUCUUGUAUGGGGAUAAAGUUAGGGACGUGUCCCUAUUUGCAGGUACCAUACGAAUAAGGACCGGCUAAUUCCGUGCCAGCAGCCGCGGUAAUACGGAAGGUCCAGGCGUUAUCCGGAUUUAUUGGGUUUAAAGGGAGCGUAGGCUGGAGAUUAAGUGUGUUGUGAAAUGUAGACGCUCAACGUCUGAAUUGCAGCGCAUACUGGUUUCCUUGAGUACGCACAACGUUGGCGGAAUUCGUCGUGUAGCGGUGAAUGCUUAGAUAUGACGAAGAACUCCGAUUGCGAAGGCAGCUGACGGGAGCGCAACUGACGCUUAAGCUCGAAGGUGCGGGUAUCAAACAGG
rnacentral:rRNA from 1 species